UACGGGGGGUGCAAACGUUGCUCGGAAUCAUUGGGCGUAAAGCGCACGUAGGCGGUCUGUUAUGUCAGAUGUGAAAGCCCUUGGCUUAACUGAGGAAGUGCAUCCGAAACUGGCAGGCUAGAGUACUAAAGAGGGUCGCGGAAUUCCCGGUGUAGAGGUGAAAUUCGUAGAUAUCGGGAGGAACACCGGUGGCGAAGGCGGCGACCUGGGUAGAUACUGACGCUGAGGUGCGAAAGCGUGGGGAGCAAACAGG
rnacentral:rRNA from 1 species